rnacentral:lncRNA from 1 species
CACGUCGUUUUGGAUAACCUACAAUAAAUAAUGACAUAUCCAAUACACAUUUCAGACAACAACGACGAUAAGAAACCUCUUAAGCGGUCAUUGCCGACAGAUGCCAAACAGUCUUUGACUGAAAAUGAAGCCGAAUUGAUGGUGAUACACAGCUGCUUUGAAAGAUAAUAAGCGAAACCAUGCCCAAAUGAGCUAUGCUUCGCUGUUGUGCAGAGACAACGGGCUGCCUCGCUAAACGAUGCACACCUGUAACUCACGUGACCCUGGUUAUUAUUGAAACGAGAACGAGGGCGUCGUGCCUUUAUAAGACUGCGUUAAUGGUUCCGUGGAGUCAUCCCUUCCGUUGUUGUUUAUUGAUUGUUAAACAUGGCUUCAUUUGCAAAGGUGGUUGUGUGUGUCCUCAUUGCUUGUGUCUGUAAUGCAUUCGGUUUUCCGAAGAGAGAUGUGAACUUUAAGGCCUCUGCAGUUGACCGCCAAAGUGAUGAUGUGGUUGUCACCACAACACCCGUUCCCCACAACCAGACCACCUCUGCCCCUACUGAAGCUGGUGGUGGUGCAAGUGAAUAUGCUGUGGCUACUACCCCAGCACCUAAUCCACACAACCAGUCAACUUCUGCACAAACUGAAGUUACUGAUGAAGCCAGUGAAGAUGCUGUGGACCGCCAAAGUGAUGU